GAGGGUGUAGCUCAGCGACAGAGUGCAUGCUUGACAUGCACGAGGUCCUCGGUUCAAUUCCCAGUACUGCCA
rnacentral:tRNA from 1 species